UAUUGUUACUGUUACUGCUAUUGUUGUUGUUUGUUGUUGUCGUUGUCCUUGUUGUUGUAACAAUAACAAUAGCAACAACAAUAGCAAUAAUAAUU